rnacentral:rRNA from 1 species
CCUACGGGUGGCAGCAGUGAGGAAUAUUGGUCAAUGGACGAGAGUCUGAACCAGCCAAGUAGCGUGAAGGAUGACUGCCCUCUGGGUUGUAAACUUCUUUUAUAAAGGAAUAAAACGAGGCACGUGUGCCUUUUUGCAUGUACUUUAUCAACAAGGAUCGGCCCACUCCGUGCCAGCCGCCGCGGUACUACGGAGGAUCCGAGCGUUAUCCGGAUUUAUUGGGUUUAACGGGAGCGUAGAUGGGUUGUUAAGUCAGUUGUGAAAGUUUGCGGCUCAACCGUAGAAGUGCAAUUGAUACUGGCAGGCUUGAGUACAGUUGAGGGAGGCGGAAUUCGUGGGGUAGCGGUGAAAGGCGUAGAGAUCACGAAGAA